GCGCCUCUGCGGGCGUGCGCAGCUGUUCCCCGUGCCUCCGCGCGUCCUGCCGCUCUCUUUGCUGGAGAGCAGCCGGCAGCGAGGCCUUGCCGGCGCUAGGGGCUGCUCGCCGUGGCGCUUCCCUACCGAGCAGGCUCUUAAACGCAGGGCCCCGGGGAGCUGCUGCUGGCGUCUGGCCCAUGCCCGGGGGGCUCGGCAGUAAGUGCAGUUGCUUGGGCUUCCUCCUCUGGAAGUGACCUGUGUCACUGUGGGAGCAGCUGCAGGACACCUCGUUCCACCAAGGCUCUGCUGCUCCCCACCUCAGCACGAGCUAAGCUUUACUCCAGCUGAAAUCCAUUGAAGUGGAGAAAACUUCACUGUCCAAAGAGCAUCAGCUGCAACUGCCUCCAAUUCUCCACACUCUUUGCCCAAAUAAUUCAAAAACCUGCUGCAGAGAGAAGAAAAGGAAGGUGGAAAGAGGAUUUAGAAACCUCUGGAGCA